ensembl:snRNA U7 U7 small nuclear RNA
CAGCGUUAUAGAUCUUUUAGAAUUUGUUUAGCAGGUUUUCUGGUUUUCACUGGAAAAUAAAA